ensembl:lncRNA
GCUUGCAAGCAGGUUAAAAUACUUCUCAUGAUGAGUCAUGUGAAAUGAUGAACUAGUUUUGGACGUAAGGAAGUAUCUCAGUGUUUUCAUCUGUACCGCACGUUAUGUGUGAUUAGCAUAGACAAGAAUCGAGACUGUUCUGAAAACAUGAAACUUACUCACAGUGGAGGUCUAAGGGUGAUUGUUGAAUUCCAUCAAUAAUUGUGACACUAUAACAAUAAAGGUCUUAGGAUGAGAAAGACAUGAAAGAAUGUCUUACCAAAGCAGUUCUUAUGUAGGUUUAUCUAACUUUGCACAAAAUCCUACCAAGCCAACCUUUUCUGAUGGGUUUUAAUCCAUGCACAAUGCCCUUAGGGUUUACACUCAUGUACUACAGAUGCACUAGCAAAAAAUAACCCUACGUUCACACUACAAAUAGGAAAGAGACAGGUAACGUCGUUUUCUAUGACCAUGUGAGAGACAAAGCCACAAUUCAAUAAAAUUUUAUUUGUAUAGCGCUUUUUACAGUGGACAUUGUCACAAAGCAGCUUUAUAGAAACAUAUAAACACAGGAUACAGAUUUUAAGUGUGUGAAUUUUUCCCUAUUGAGCGAGACAGUGGCGAGGAAAAACUCCCUGAGAUGAUAUGACGAAGAAACCUUGAGAGGAACCAGACUCAGAAGGGAACCCGUGGUAACAACGUAUAGUGUGAAAGUAAAAGAAAGUUCAUUAUGGUUUGUACUUGAAGUCUUUGUUGAACUAGUCCACUGUUCACUAAAGGAGACCUGAGUGUAAAACUGCAUGUGGUAAUUGCAGGCUCAAGGCCAUAGCAGCAACCGUAGUCCCAGCAACCACCGUGAGAAUUUCCAUGUGGAAUUGAGGACCAAAACUAUUUCAUGGUACUAAACUAUUUCGUGGUACUAAACUAUUUCGUGGUACCCUAUAGCAUCUCACUAUAGCAAACGACAAGCUUGGCAUCAUGAGAAGCAACAUUUCAAAUGGGAUUUUUUUUUUCCAUUGAUGCAGCGAAGCAACAAAUCCAAACAAUUGGCUGAAAUUAUUCCUCAGAUCAAUCCUACAGCACUUGUGGUGCUUUCUUCAGUUCCCCAUUCAUGUCUUUAGUCCCUAUCAGUUUCCAUUUACUGUGACACACAAGAAAAUGGAAAAUUUAUAGCUGUAGUUUUAUUUUAUCCUCUCAUUAAAUGUGCAUAGAGACAUUAUGGAAAAAAUGCAGCUUGAAAGGAAGCGGAAGUGGAAGAGGUUGCUGGUGCCUCUGGUGAGUACACAAAUCUAGUACAAUUAGAUGGAUUUGCGACGGUUAGUGUAUUAUUAUAGUGUAUUUUAGGAGCUAUACAUUUAGGCUAUUAUUCAAUUCAAGUCCAUUUUAUUUGCAUAGUGCUUUUAACAAUGUACACUGCAACAAAGAAAUAUACAAAUUGCGGAUAUAAAUGUUACAUUUAUAUAUUUAUCCCUAAUGCCAGAGGCAACAGUGGCAAGGAAAAACUCCCUGAGAACCCAUCCUCAUCUGCGUGACACUGGAUAGAGAGAUUAUAAAUCAUUUCCCUUCUAUAACUGUAUGCUAUAGAGUCAAAAAGCGCAAGUGUGUAACCAGGAACUUAUGAGCAUCAGAGUCAUUUCUGAAUUCAUUAUAGUUUUAACAUGAACUCUAUCGUGUUGAAGUUAUCGAGCGUUCAAUGAUGGAGACUUGAGUGCAAAACUGUUCGUAGCAAUCGCAGUCUUAAGGCUAUCCAAGGAAAACCAUCCACAGCCAUCUUUACGGUUUCUAUGUGGUACCAUCCACAGUAAUCUCAUGCCGUCGUCUCUCAUCCGAACUAAAAAACACUGGACAGUACACACCCACAAGCAACAAUAGUACACAGAUUACAGAGACAAAAACUAAUAGUGACUUGCUGCCUGCUGGUGGGAAAGUAUUCCUUUAAAUAAGGGGACUCGAGUACUUCUCAGCCUACUGCAUACUUAAGACUCGCCCUGUUCAUAGGUACAAUACUGAAAUGAGUGAGGUGUGUAUGUGAAAUGUGUUACAUAGAACCCAUGUAAAGCCUAUGCCCACGCACACACACACACACGGUAUUAUAACCAUGACCUACAGUGUAUUAUUUCUGGCAGUUGUAUAAUAUAUGGAUCAGACCGACAGUGGAGAUUACAGCAAAUUACGCACUGAGGCAGUUUUGCAACAUAAACAUGAGACGAAAUUGGACAAAAAGGACAGAAGGCAUUUUAACACACCACAAUAAAUCAGACAGGAUGACAGAAAGCUUUUUCUACACACCAGAGAAUGAGACUGAUGAGUAGCGCUUCAUGUUGCAGAGCCUGAGGCUAAAAGGCUUCAGAAACAGAAUAUAGAAAAGGCUGGCACAUUUCAGUCACUGUUUUCAUAUCACACUAUUUAGAUUUUAAAAAUAAAACAAACAAAAAAAAAAACGACAGAGCUGUGCCCCCACACACAAUUUUCAUAAAGAAACUCAGACAGAGAGAUUACUAAUUAACAGAAUUAAUUUAUGAGUGCCUUUUAAUAAGAUGCUAUCCUAGACAAUAAGAGUGUUAACCAACUGAACAUUCUACUCCAGACUGAAGAACAAUUCCACAGACAUUGUAAAAUCUAAGCCAUCGGUGGUGUACAUACUAUCAUAUGUACGUGAUACCAGCUUAAGGUUCUUCAGUGUUUGGUAAGUACAGAAGACACCAUGAUGGGGGUGCGCUGUUCUAGGAAAAUAAUCACCGAUGGAAGGGUGCGAUGCAGCCCGACAUUGCUCAUUUUCCUAUAACAGCGUGCCCUGGAGGGCUUUAUUUCUGUAACAUCACAGCAAUAACUGAUCAAUGAACUGCACAGCGUACUUUAUCAGUUUGUAAAGACAUUUAAUAUUGCGGACAAGAGAGACAAGUUCAUGUUAUCACUUCGCAGCUAUAAAUAGUUGCUCCCGCUCCAGACUUUCUUUUUCUCUCGCAAAGUGAAUAAAACAACAACAAAAUAAUACAUGCAUCUUCCCAUGUUACAUCAGUAUGCUCAGUCCUAAAGACGACCGGUGGAAAAAUGACUGACUAUUACAGAGUGCUAACACUGGAGACUUUUUCUUUUCCAUAAAUGUUGAACAAACAUCUUCCAGAAAAUGUCACAUCAAUGAUUAAAAGCGUUCUUCGUUAAAUACAAUUUUUUAAUCAUUCGGCUUAGAUUACAUGAAGAGUAUGCCAUCGAAGUCGUUGUUACUAUAGAAACCAGUACAUAUCAGAGCACAUAAAUAUAAGCACUGCUGUCAGAAAAAAUGAAUUCGAAUUGUCUGACCAAUCAGAAUCGAGAAUCGAACAGUGGUGUGGUAUAACCGUUUUCCAUUCAAGACAUUUCCUCUCUAAAUAAAACGUGGGACGUUUUGUAAAAUUUACCUAUAGCACUGUGUCUCAUCCUCUCUCACACCAUUUCUCUUCCCCUUCCUGUCUGCAGGUAAACAUUAUUUCUCUUGAGUCAGACAGUGUUGUGAAGGAGAAAUUCCAGGGGAAAGGUGGACUCAAGCUGUGAAAAGCGACCACCACAUUCACCAGGGUACUUUAUUUUCAAGCUCCAGCAACUAAGAAGAAAGGAGAGAAUGAGAGGGAGGGAAAUAAGAAGGUACUUUAUAUUUUGAAGGCUUGGGUGAAAAAGAGACUUUGGAAAGAAACUUCAGAUUAAUAGAGGUCAACGAUGUGGAUUUAAAAAAAAACAACAAAAAGCAACAACAUUAACAUAGACAUCAACUUAUAAAUUAAAUAAGAACAAGCCAGUCAAGGACACUGCGUUAGGGAUUUGGUUGUUUUUUUUUCUCCUCCCUGUGUGAAAUAUUCUCCACCACUCACCCGGAUACCUGGAAACCACAGGGACACAAAGCCAGCCAAUCAGCCCUCAUGGGAACUAGAGCCCUGGCCUCUGAUUGGUCAUGUGUGCCCCCUAAGCUCAUUAUUAUAUCAGCGUGUCCUUCACUGUGUUGUCUGGCUACUAUCAGGCCAACGACGUGCCAGCGCUCUCCCCCACAAACAACAUUUUAUUGGAGGAGAAACAGACAGAAAGUGGAUUACUGACAACCAGAAAAUAAGGAUAAAAAAAUACUUAAGUUGUAGAGAUGAGAGAAGAAAUCCAUCUAAUGAUAAUAACACACACAAAAACACGGACCUGGAAAAAGCAUUAAUCAGCAUUUAUCCAUAUGCAAAACAUUCAAGUUCGAAUGUAUAUUUGACAUGCAAAUAUCUGUACAACGUCCGUGUUCACAAACACUGACAACAUGCACGCUCACUGUGAGGACCUUCCACUGGCAAAUCCACUCAUUGUAGCUAAAUAAUACUUUGCCUACAACUAAAUACAACAACCUCAGUAACUAAAAUAUUUUGACACUUAAAUUUUUAAAUAAAAGCUGUAAAAACAAAACAAAAACAAAGAAAAAACUGUUUUUCCUCAUGGGGACCAGCCAAAUGUCCCCAUAAGGCCAAAGCACACACACACACACACACCUGUUGUGGUUGUCUUGAAUAAAGGAACACACACAGACGCUUUCAUCCUUUGCCGUCUCUAAAGUAAAUGAGCUACAGUAAUUGUUUCAUUAUGACUGUCUAUUGAAAUCGUUUCCCUUUUCUCUCCUCCUCCCUUUGUUCUUCACAUCCGGGCUCCUCAUUUCCUUGUUUUUCUCCUGUCAUGUGCUGUUUUUUACUACUAACCUGGUCACCACCUACUAGACCUCCAACACACUCUCACAUGUCUGUAAGGUAAAUAAAACUCAGCAUGACAGUGUUUGUAUUUUUAACAACUUCUUAAGUAAUACAACUUAACUCGCUCUCAGAUCAGUUCUUUCCUCCAUUACUCGAUAUCCACAUCGGGUCAUUCUUUUCUAUAUUUACAGUUCGGACAAUAACAGCAAUCAUGGAAGAGAACAGCCUUCACAUGCAUCAAAGUUGCUAGACCUUUCGGUUCUGGCUAUGAAAAACCACAACACAAGCAGAAGAAGACAUUUUAACAUGACUAGUUCCCAACCCUGGUGCUGGAGCACAGUUAAGUGUUCUCCCAGGUGCUGGAGCACAGUUAAGUGUUCUCCCAGGUGCUGGAGCACAGUUAAGUGUUCCCCCUGGUGCUGGAGCACAGUUAAGUGUUCCCCCUGGUCCUGGAGCACAGUUAAGUGUUCUCCCAGGUGCUGGAGCACAGUUAAGUGUUCUCCCAGGUGCUGGAGCACAGUUAAGUGUUCUCCCAGGUGCUGGAGCACAGUUAAGUGUCCUCCCUGGUGCUGGAGCACAGUUAAGUGUUCUCCCCGCUCGAACACACCUCGACUGUCUCAGCAAGGCCCGAUUAACCAGAUGAUUAGCUGAGUAAGGUGUGAUAAACCAGGAGUAAUACAAACAAACGUGCAUGCGGUUUAUCCCAGCCACGUCGCCUUCAGAACUGAAGGACUUAAACAACAGCCUGCAUGUCAAGAAUCAUUCUUUUCUACUAACCCUGAAAUCAACAAGCGCACAGGCAUGACAGCCGUGUAGCAGAUGUUCAGCACAUGCUCUGGUCAGCAGGAAGAGGAGUGUUAUUCGUAGUACCAGCAGAGAGAGGAGAUUCCACGCACUGGCUAUAUGGCGAAUAUAUUUCAUGAGAUUUGACAUUUACACAAUACAUCAUGAUAUUUAAGAUUGCUAAAAAAUACUAAACGUCGUAGCAUUUAAAGUAUUAUAAUAAAACAACAGCAGAUUUCCAACAAACCUGUCUUGUAUUUAUUUC